CAGCCUUUUUCUUCUUCUUUUUUGAGGAAUAAGAUCUUGCUAAAUGACGCAGCCUGGCCUUGAACUAUUAAUAUUAAUGCCCCUGCCUCUGCCUCCCAACUAGUAUUUCUACAUUUUUGAAGUAUGAUUUAAGGUUUCAUUCUAGAAUUCUAAAUGUCUUAACAUUUUCCUUCGAAUCUUUUUUGUUUCUUUCACAUUUUUUUUAUUAGUGCCUAUUAAUGAGUUGCAUUUUCGCAAAUUGGUGCAUGCUCAGAAUAUACUUUGAUCAUUUUUACCCUACCAUUAUCCCCUCUGCCUGGCCUCUCUAGUUUAAUUUUUUUCCUUAGGGGGUUUAUUGCCUAUAAUAUAUUUUGAUCAUAUUCAUCUUCCUAUUACCACCCCAUAUAACCACUUCCCCUCUCCCAGUAUUCCCUUCAUCUUGUCUCAUAAUAGUCUCCCUCCUGCUCUCUUGUCAUCUUUUUCAGAUUCCACAUAUGUACUAGGGAUCCCCCUUUUUUUUUUUUAAAUGUUAGGAUCAAACCCAGGGCCUUGCACAUGAUAGCUCAGUGGUUCUACCACCUGCCUUGCAAGCCCAGGGACUGGAGUUCAAUCCCCUGUACCAAAAAAUAAAUUGCAAGUUAUAUACUAUAACAAUGAUAUCUUCAAGAUUUUAGUAAAAAGUGAUAUUUGCUGUUCCAGGCUUAAUACUUAAUUUAUAAAAUUUCUUCAGUGUGACUAUUUUGUAGUUCAUUAUACAUAGGAUAGCCAUAACUUAGCAGGACUGUUUGAGAGUGAAAGCAGGCAUUGCUAACAGUGAUACCAAGACAGUGGACAUAGACCACUGAGUUGAUUGCAGUGGUCUAACUUGUAACCCCAGCUCUUUGGGAGGCUGAGGCAUGAAGAUUACAAGUUUGAGCCCAGCCUGGGCAACUAAGUGAGACCCUGUCUCAAAAGAGGCUGGGGAGGUAGUUCAGCCAUAAACCAUCCCUGGAUUCAAUCCCUAGUACCACAAAAAAUAAACAAACCAAGAUUGUCCCAGGCAAAUCAAGCAAGUCAUCCUAAUUAUAUAAGACUGAUUUUAAAUGACUACUUUAACAUAGGAUGACUUAUUGUAACUGUCUUUUAAAGGCUUAAAAAUUUUUUACAAUGGAUAUAAUCAUUAAAAUUUUC
rnacentral:lncRNA from 1 species